CAGCAACCCAGCUCUCCAUAUGCAAAAUACCUGGACUCUAGAAAACUACAUGUCCAGUACUCCAGCCAGUUGCCUGGGUGCUCUGAGUUCUAAUUCUGGAGAGCCUCACAGCCAGCUGAGUCCAGAAGUCCCGCCCAAUAAUAUGGACUUUGGGCUAGCUGGGCAGACUGCAGUUGAGCCAGAUACCUGGAAGGCAGAACUCUUUCCAUUUAUUUAUACCAGAUGAGUCAAUUUGGACUGGAUAGUCAGCCGCAGUGGUUCAGUAACCAAUUUUUGCUGGACCCCUCCUGGAGGAUCCAUCCACACACACUUCAAACCCCAUCUCUGAGCCUGGAGGUGUUCCUACCAAGCAGCUACCGGGCUUGGCCAGCGCUUUGGCGCCCUCUGGCGGGCAUUACGUCUAAUGACAGCUCAGAGGCCUGCCUCCUGCCUCCUGAACAGACCCCUGGAUGGACUGCACUGGGCUUGUGCACUGGGUAGUUGCUGUAAUACCUCCUCUCAUUCUAAAACUACCAUUUUCCUCUCAUAGUCAGCAAUGGUGCUCACGCCUCCCAAUCCUUCCCCUCUAAGUCAUUGAGCCGAACCCACUCCCAAUCACGUGACCAGAUUUCAAUGAAUCAGCCUCCCCGUCUUCAUUUCUGCCACUUGGGUCGAGGUGAGAUUUUCACCAUCAGGGGUGAAUGAGAGGAGGGGAGAAGCUCAGACGGAAGGAAAAGAAGGAAUCUUACAGAAAACCUUCAAGAGAUGAGUCUCUGGGAUGGAUGAACCUGCUGACCAGAGAAAUGCUGCUUUUGCACCCUCCAUUCACAGCCACCCACCCAGCUGCCCAGAGGCCACACACUGCGCAAGCCUGUUCUGGGAGCGCUGCAAGCCCGGUAUUCCAUCCCACACCCUUUUGUCUCAGAUGCAGCCUCUGCAGAAUCCAAAGCAGUCAGAACGCUUCACGGACUGUCCAAUCAUCUGGACUUCAGGCUACCUGAGCUGUCAGAAAGUGACCCGCAGAUGGGAAGAGCAGGACAAGGUCCUUCCUAUCAGAUGCCAAACAUCAUGGAAGCCUGAUUCUGGACAACCAAAUGCCCAAUACUCAAACCAACCGCAUGUGUUUCAGAAUUCUACCUCUAGAGAAUCAAAAGGCAGUCUGAACCUUUAA
rnacentral:lncRNA from 1 species